CAUCCACAUCAUAGCAAACUGAAUCCCAGGGCACCCCCUUCUCCCAGAGCCCAAAUGAAUGAACUCAAAAUCAUGCCUCUUAAAAUCCACCAAACUAUCCAAAACCUCUCGGGCCAAAAACUCGUCGGGCCGGACCAAACGUCGAUCUCGCCGAUGGUCCAGGGUUGGUAACCACGGUGGCGGGCGCGAGUCAUAGCCCAUUACUUGGGUGUCGCGCAUCGAUUCGUGGGGAAUGAGGAGGAGUGCCGGCGGGUGGAGCGGAGGGUCUCUUGAUCAAGGCUUUAGGGUAGGGCAUUUUUUCGAGCCUUGUCUCAGUUAUGGCUCGUUUGGUUUAGGUUAUUUCGGUACUUCGCUUUGUGUAGCUUUUUCAAAGAUUAGGGUGUCCCAAGAGCUCUGCCAUCGCCCAUUCUAUGAGGAGGUGUUGUAUCUGUUCCAGCCAGCAAAACAUAUCCUUCAAGACAAAUAAAACAUAGAUACAAAUAAAUAAGUAAAUUCAAUGGACAAUUCCUUGAUAAAGCUAUAUAAAAUGAUACUUUUAAAUAUGUGACGACGUGGCCUCUCUAAAAAUAUUGAUGGGACCCACAAAUAUGAGGCAUGCAGUUGUGCUUUAUGUGGGAACAUAUUUAGAGAAUAAAAAAAAUACGGACCAAGAAUUGAACUUGGUACUUAUUUUGGAUUGUUCAAGGUUAGAGAAUUUACAUCCUUUUGGAGUAUCCCCAGGUUUUUUUGUUUCUUCUUUCUUUUAUUAGGCUAUGUUUAAAUUAAAAGUUUGUAGAGAAAAGUUCAAAUAAAAGAAAAAGUUAAUAGACUGCGGAACAAUAGUUUAGAUUUUAUAUUUUUCUUUUUUCGUCACAUCCACCUGACGAGAGUUUUCUUUGUGAGGAAAAGAAAAAAUAAAUUAUACAGAUUAAAUUUAAAAUAUGGAUCGAUUAACUUUUUCCUUCGUCAAAAUCUUAAUUCAAACACCAACGAUAAUAAACAUCAAACCUAAAUGUAGAAGAUUAAAAGAAACUAACUGAUGAGAGUCCAUCUUACCAAUAUGAGCGCUUUGACGCUCUCUCGAUGAAUUGGAGAGCCUGAAGCCACAUCUCCUCUGACUUGAAGCAUACAUCCACAAAGUCCCUCAUGCCCUCCCUCCUCCCUCCGCAGCUCUUCAACUACAUCUCAAUAAAAAUAAUCCAACUCCUUAGCAACCUCUCUCCACUCUACCAUUACAUCCAUUGGAUUUUGUUCACCCACCAAAGCCAUGGAAUGUAGUCCCCAACAUUCAAAAUACCCAAGUAGUCCACAAACUCCCCUAUAAGCUUCGUAAAACCGCCCCUUUCGCCAUAUUUCUCCCCGAAGCCACCCUACACACUACGUCAUGGUAAGUGACUUAAACUAAUUCAGUCAGAUCACCGCCUAAGGACGGAGAGAAGAAGAAGAAUAUGAUUGUUGAUCUUAGCGAUCAUUGGGUCGUUCUUUUCUCACAGCGCGAAACGAGAGUUACCUGUUAAACAAAAACUAUAAUGAUAAUUGAUUUUCAACAAUAAAAUAAUUGAAGUUUUCAUAAAAACAAAUUAAAUGAUUGUAGAAAGAAAUUUUGAAAUAGAAAUCACUUUUAGGUUCCAAAAUAAAAACAUCGAUUAGUAUGAAAAUAAAGAGCUGAGAGAGAUUGGCACAAGUCUUUAGAGGAAUAAUUGUCCUAAAUGAUAAAAUCAUUUCCUCCUCACUUGCAAAUCCAUAUGGAACGCAAUAGCGUUUACGAUUCAUCGAAGUGUGAAAAUCUUUACUUGUAUAGAUCAAAAAAUUGCAAAUGAGUCAAACUUAAUGUAUAAGGGAUAUUUUGACACAAUAAAAAACUAAAAGAUGCAAAGUGAAAACUUGUAAAAAGUUCAUGGCAUAAAGCAAAUUUCUCCAAAUAGAGUAAAAAUAGUUUAUUUUUAUGAAACCCAUACACCCUUGCGAUUUGAGUUUGGCCAACUGUGGGCCUGAGGAUUUCCGAGUUUGGAACAGCCCAACUCAGCCCGCUAUAUGGCGAAAGCCUGAUGGGUUUGGAUCAGGCCGUCCCAACUUGAUUCAUUUCGGACCGGAGGAUUGAAUUAUAUGGUGUUCUAAAAAUAGUUUUUUUUUUAAGUUUGAGUUGAAGGGAGCUCUAAUAAAGUAAUAUGCGAGUAGAAGUAGAAAUUAUGCCAUAGUUAUGUAAACUGCCCGGUCUAUGGCAAAAAUAAAAGAUUAUUUUUUAAGUAUAUUCGUUAGAGUUUUACAAUUUAAAAAACAGAUAUAAUAUAAAAAUCAAAUAAAAUAUACAUUAUAUACAUAUGCGAAGAGAUAUAUUGCUACAAAAUGGAGAACAAAUUAUAAAGUAUAAUAAUUUUAAAAAAAUAUUUCUAAUUUAGAAAAAAUGAGGGAGAAAGAAAAUUGUGUUUUAAUUUUUUUUUUGUCCCAUUAAAAAAAUGAUCAAAUGGAUAAAAUUUAUGUCCAACUUUAAAUUUUUUUGGCUAUUGGAUCAUAAUUUAUG
rnacentral:lncRNA from 1 species